ACGAACGCUGGCGGCGUGCUUAACACAUGCAAGUCGAACGAAGAGCGAUGGAAGCUUGCUUCUAUCAAUCUUAGUGGCGAACGGGUGAGUAACGCGUAAUCAACCUGCCCUUCAGAGGGGGACAACAGUUGGAAACGACUGCUAAUACCGCAUACGAUCUAAUCUCGGCAUCGAGGAUAGAUGAAAGGUGGCCUCUAUUUAUAAGCUAUCACUGAAGGAGGGGAUUGCGUCUGAUUAGCUAGUUGGAGGGGUAACGGCCCACCAAGGCGAUGAUCAGUAGCCGGUCUGAGAGGAUGAACGGCCACAUUGGGACUGAGACACGGCCCAGACUCCUACGGGAGGCAGCAGUGGGGAAUCUUCCGCAAUGGACGAAAGUCUGACGGAGCAACGCCGCGUGAGUGAUGACGGCCUUCGGGUUGUAAAGCUCUGUUAAUCGGGACGAAAGGCCUUCUUGCGAAUAGUUAGAAGGA
rnacentral:rRNA from 1 species